rnacentral:rRNA from 1 species
GGGCCCGCACAAGCGGUGGAGCAUGUGGUUUAAUUCGAUGAUACGCGAGGAACCUUACCAGGGCUUAAAUGUAGUAUGACCGGUCUGGAAACAGGCCUUCCCUUCGGGGCAGAUUACAAGGUGCUGCAUGGUUGUCGUCAGCUCGUGCCGUGAGGUGUUAGGUUAAGUCCUGCAACGAGCGCAACCCCUAUUCUUAGUUGCCAGCGGUUCGGCCGGGGACUCUAAGAAGACUGCCAGCGCAAGCUGAGAGGAAGGUGGGGAUGACGUCAAAUCAUCACGGCCCUUACGUCCUGGGCUACACACGUGCUACAAUGCUACGGACAAAGGGCAGCAAGUUCGCGAGGACAAGCAAAUCCCAUAAACCGUGGCUCAGUUCAGAUCGUAGGCUGCAACUCGCCUACGUG